rnacentral:rRNA from 1 species
ACGGGGCGCAGCAGUGGGGAAUUUUGCGCAAUGGGGGGAACCUUGACGCAGCGACGCCGCGUGGGUGAUGAAGGCCUUCGGGUUGUAAAGCCCUGUUGGGGGGGAAGAUAAUGACGGUACCCCCUGAGGAAGCCCCGGCUAACUACGUGCCAGCAGCCGCGGUAAGACGUAGGGGCCGAGCGUUGUCCGGAAUUACUGGGCGUAAAGGGCGUGUAGGCGGCUUUUCAAGUCGGCUGUGAAAUUCCCCGGCUUAACCGGGGGGGUGCAGUCGAAACUGAUGGGCUUGAGUGCAGGAGAGGGUGGUGGAAUUCCUGGUGUAGCGGUGACAUGCGUAGAUAUUGGGAGGAACACCGGUGGCGAAGGCGACCUCCUGGCCUGUUACUGACGCUGAGGCGCGAAAGCUGGGGGAGCAAACAGGAUUAGAUACCCUGGUAGUCCCAGCUGUAACCUCUGGGUACUAGGUGUGGGGGGCUUCGAUGCCCUCUGUGCCGUAGUUAACGCAUUAAGUACCCCGCCUGGGGAGUACGAUCGCAAGGUUGAAACCCAAAGGAAUUGGCGGGGGAGCACA